UUUAAACAUAGUCAUGAGUUUUCGUAUCCAACUUUAAUCGUCUGUCCUAUUUAAAAAAAAUUUAUGGUUAGUAUUUUUAUUGUUAAUAUAUGAUAAAAUAUGAAUAGUACUUUAUGUGUGACUUACGUUUUAAAUUUUUUUAAAAGAAUCAAAUAAAACGGCCGAUCAAAGUUAGAUAAGGUCCAUACGGAAACUUAUGACUGCGAUAAAA
rfam:Oryza meridionalis cultivar OR44 (W2112) chromosome 6, whole genome shotgun sequence.